GAUGAACGCUGGCGGCGUGCCUAAUACAUGCAAGUCGAGCGAUGCGGGGACGGGGGAGUAACACGUGGAUAACCUCCUCUAAGACUGGGAUAACUUCGUGAAACCGGAGCUCAAUCGGAUACUUAUAGAUGCAUCCGCGCUGCAUUAGCUGGUUGGUAAGGUAACGGCUUACCAAGCCAUCGAUGGAUAGCCGACCUGAAAGGGUGACCGGCAACAUGGGACCUGAGCACCGGUCCAGAUUCCUACGGGAGGAAGCGGUAGGGAAUCUUCCGCAAGGGGGGAAAGCCGGACGGAGCAACGCCGCUUGAGGGAUGAAGGUCUUCGGUUCGUAAGACUCGGUUAUUAGGGAAGCGGUACCUAAUCAGAAAGCCACGGCUAACUACGUGCCAGCAGCCGCGGUAAUUC
rnacentral:rRNA from 1 species